rnacentral:rRNA from 1 species
UACGAAGGGGGCUAGCGUUGCUCGGAAUGACUGGGCGUAAAGGGCGCGUAGGCGGAUGGCACAGUCAGAUUUGAAAUUCCCGGGCUUAACCUGGGGGCUGCAUUUGAUACGUGUUGUCUUGAGUUCGGAAGAGGGUCGUGGAAUUCCCAGUGUAGAGGUGAAAUUCGUAGAUAUUGGGAAGAACACCGGUGGCGAAGGCGGCGACCUGGUCCGACACUGACGCUGAGGCGCGAAAGCGUGGGGAGCAAACAGG